UACGAAGGGGGCUAGCGUUGCUCGGAAUUACUGGGCGUAAAGGGCGCGUAGGCGAACAGUUUAGUCAGAGGUAAAAGCCCAGGGCUCAACCUUGGAACUGCCUUUGAUACUGGCUGUCUUGAGUUCGGGAGAGGUGAGUGGAAUGCCGAGUGUAGAGGUGAAAUUCGUAGAUAUUCGGCGGAACACCAGUGGCGAAGGCGACUCACUGGCCCGAUACUGACGCUGAGGCGCGAAAGCGUGGGGAGCAAACAGG
rnacentral:rRNA from 1 species